UAUGGCCGUAUCAUGUUGAAACACUGGUUCUUCUGUGAUCACUGAAGUUAAGCAACAUCUAGCUUUGUCAGUACCUCGAUGGGUUACUGCUUGGGAAUAUCAGGUGCUGAAAG